rnacentral:tRNA from 1 species
UUUAUGGGGUGAACUCCUCUCUUUACAU